rnacentral:lncRNA from 1 species
UAAUUAUAGCUCGAGUUACAGAACUCGAAAUUUAAAUCCAUAAAUUUUCCCUGAAACUAGACUCAUAUUCCUAAUUACCAUAAAAUUUUUAGAAUUUUUGGUUUAUCCAAUUAGUACAGUUUAUUCAUUGAAGUCUCCCAUGUUUCACUACUUAACAGUUCUGACCUCUUAACACUAAAAAUCAAUUAUCAUUGUACAGAAUUCAUAUAAGGUUAUAAUUUAUUUCUUUUGAAAAUAGACUCACUAAGAAAUAUAUACAUAUAAAUUUUAGCUUAUAAUUCUC